UGAUCAUACGAGUCCCGAAUAACCAGUCAUGAGUUCUUUAAACUAAUUAUGCAUUAAUGUACAUCAAGCAAGACUAGAAUUACUUCUUAAUUUGGUAUUAUGUGGACAGCGUAGCCUGUUGAUAGGUUAGUUAGAAAACACCUCCUACAUUUCAUUGUGUAUUAAAGGACAUGCAAACUGAAGGGAAACAUUUCUGGAGAACUUUGUUUAAAAAUCCAUACGACCGACUGAACACAGAAGACUUUCUUCUUCAUUUGAAUCCUGUUUUUCAAAAGAUUUAAACCUGAUUCAGCUCCAUUUUUCAGGGCUGUAGGCUGAACUGCUGUGGGUGAACCAGCCAACUAACCAGUAGGGACUUGAACCACUGCAGGUGAACCAAACAACCACUCCUCAGUCACACAGAAAAAUCUGGUAAGUGACUUCACUUGGAAAUGUCAUUACAUGUGCUUGGUAAGCCGUAGAGCAGCAUUUCUACUCUGAUUUAAACAUUUAACAAGUACGAGCAGACUGGACUGGAGCUGUCAUGAAGGCAUCAAGGAAAAGCAGACACAAUAUCUGGAAUAUGUUUUUAUUAUAGAGCUAAAAGAUUUAGAAACAAAAUAACAGCAGCAACAACUUUGUAAAUUAAACAUUUUACAGAUUUAGCAAAAUCAGAUUCUUCUAUAUUUAAUUUUAUCUUUAUAAUAACAUUUAAUGCAGCUUCCAUAGCAGUUUCUCAGUUUAACUGUAGGCUGAAAUUCUGCAGUAAUUUAAACUUAUUCAUUCCCCCUCAUCUGUAUCAUUGAGAUAUCCAGAAAACUACAACCAGCUAACAGAAGAAGAGUUUAAAGAUAGCAAGUUACUUAAGAGUCACAUCUAAAAACACACAAAUGAAGAGUAACAUGUAAAGAAUUUCCUCUUCUGGAUGUGGCUACAGCAUUUAUAAAACUGAUCACAGCUCGGCGCGAUACUUUCUUAAUUAUACACCUGAUGUACGCAUCUCAGAUUUUGAGAUGGAAGGAGACCGCUUCUGUAAUUCAGAUUAUUUUAAACAUGUUCUAAACCCCCCCCCCUCAA